rnacentral:lncRNA from 1 species
UGAUGGAGGCUCAACUCUGUGGGUGCUGGGGCUUAGGGGCUCUGGAUGGCAUGAGUAGGCGUCCGCUUGGAGUGGGAGAAACUUUGAUUCAGACUGGCCAUCUUGCAAGUGACUGGGAGCUUUGGAAACAGGCAAUAGAGCUUCAGAUCAGAAAGGAUUAACGGACAAGUCACAUCAAAUGAAAUGUUACAACCCACGUACAACAGCGGUCAGGAAGAUUGAGGGGAAACAGGGAACUUUGAAUUGUGCUUUUGGUCAUCUUACUGCAUCCCUGUUAAAGCUGUAGGUAAUUGUGGGGGACUAGAUGUCUGACUCCCCUCAAUGUGCAUGUUGACAUCCUGACUGCGUAGGUGAUGAUUUGGUGCAGAGGCCUUCAGAACUGCACUGGGUUUCGAUGAGGUCCUGAUGGUGCGGCCCUGAUAGAAUUUGUCUUCUCUUGUGUGUGUGUGUGUGUGUAUAUAAUUAUCACUAUUAGUAUUUUGCUUUGGUUUUAGGGCCCUGUGCUUGCCAGGCAGGUACUCUACCACUUGGACCACACCCUGAUGUUCUUGUAAGAAAAGAAACUCCAUAUAUCUCCCUCCUUCCUCCUCCUCCUCCUCCCCCAAUGUGGGGACACAGCAGGGAGGCGCCAUCUGUAAGCCAGGGAGAGGCCCCCUCACCAGGAGCCACAUCAGCUAGCACCUUGCUCUUGGACGUCUGACCUCCAGAACUGUGGGAUGUAAACGUGUCUGUUUCGGCCACGGGGUCUACACCAUGCGUUCUCCCAGCCCAAGCAGACCGCCAUCAGCACAGGACUUCCUUACGCAGGAGAGAGCUGCUCUCAGGUUAUUCUCUACACGUGAGUCAUGGCUCAGUGAGAGAGAGAGCAAAUGAGGGUAAUGUCAAUAAUUACUGAAUCUAGGGAAGGUGUUCAGCUGUUUAUUGUACUACUUCACCAAUUUUUUUUCAUGUUGGAAAUUUUUUUAGUUAAAAAGAAUGUGUGUAUGUGUGUGCUCUUGUGUGCACGUGCAGGGAAGGGCGGAUAGAAUAAAACCGAGAGAAAAAAGAUUCUAAGGGUGGUG